GUUUCUAACAUUUUAGAUCUGGCAUUCCAAAUGGAAUGUUCCCAACAUACUGUACCCCAGUCUAUACAAUGGAAUUUGAGCUUCUGCUUUAACCACAGGCUUUCUUUUUCACUGGAAUGACUCUUCUUGAAAAAACUGCCUAUUUCACCUUCCUUGGCAGUGGAAUAAGUGGAUCAAAAACAGCGACUGCUGAUGAAAACUCAACUUCCAAAUACAUUCCACAGCUUAUUUGCAGAGGGAAAUGUUCUUUACCUUUUGAACUUUCAGAUAGCUGGUGAAAGCAAAUGGGCCUGUGAAACUGCUUCCUUUAAUCCAGCAGAUAGAUGCCUGUGGUUUCAGAGCCCGGGAUGUUCCAUUUUGAGUGCCACAUGCGUGUGGUUAGCUAAUGACCGGGUGUCUACUGAGGUUUGCGACCAGGGAUUGUUGCAAAGCUCUACCUGACUCUUUUCUUCUCCUGGAGAAGAAAUCAAUCAAUGAAAGAACUUUAAGCCAAGUUCUGGAGACGGACGGUGGUGAGGAUUACAUAAUCAUGUGAAAGUAUUAAAUGCUGUUGAAC
rnacentral:lncRNA from 1 species